rnacentral:rRNA from 1 species
GUGCCAGCCGCCGCGGUAAUACGUAGGUGGCGAGCGUUGUCCGGAUUUACUGGGCGUAAAGGGUGCGUAGGCGGAUAUUUAAGUGGGAUGUGAAAACCCCGGGCUUAACCUGGGGACUGCAUUUCAAACUGGAUAUCUGGAGUGCAGGAGAGGAAAGCGGAAUUCCUAGUGUAGCGGUGAAAUGCGUAGAGAUUAGGAAGAACACCAGUGGCGAAGGCGGCUUUCUGGACUGUAACUGACGCUGAGGCACGAAAGCGUGGGUAGCAAACAGGAUUAGAUACCCUGGUAGUCCACGCCGUAAACGAUGAGUACUAGGUGUAGGAGGUAUCGACCCCUUCUGUGCCGCAGUAAACGCAAUAAGUACUCCGCCUGGGAAGUACGAUCGCAAGAUUAAAACUCAAAGGAAUUGACGG